rnacentral:rRNA from 1 species
AGGAUGAACGCUGGCGGCGUGCUUAACACAUGCAAGUCGAACGAUGAAGGCUGGAGCUUGCUCUGGCUGGAUUAGUGGCGAACGGGUGAGUAACACGUGAGUAACCUGCCCCUGACUCUGGGAUAAGCGCUGGAAACGGCGUCUAAUACCGGAUACGAGCUUCCACCGCAUGGUGAGGAGCUGGAAAGUAAUUUCGGUCUGGGAUGGACUCGCGG